UACGAAGGGGGCUAGCGUUGCUCGGAAUCACUGGGCGUAAAGCGCACGUAGGCGGAUUGGUCAGUUAGGGGUGAAAUCCUGGAGCUCAACUCCAGAACUGCCUUUAAUACUGCCAGUCUCGAGUCCGGAAGAGGUAAGUGGAACUCCUAGUGUAGAGGUGGAAUUCGUAGAUAUUAGGAAGAACACCAGUGGCGAAGGCGGCUUACUGGUCCGGUACUGACGCUGAGGUGCGAAAGCGUGGGGAGCAAACAG
rnacentral:rRNA from 1 species